rnacentral:miRNA from 1 species
UUUACACUUGCGCACGUGUGCAUGUGUGCACAUGCACGUGCGUGCACACACACACACACACACACACACACACACACACACACACAC